CUUUAACAAAAGUAGUUAAUUUCUUCAUAAUUUAAAGAAUUUGGCGGUUAAUUUUAAUUUUUAGAGGAAUUUGUAAUUUAAUUGAUAAACCACGAUAGUUUUUACCAUAAUUUUGUUUGUAUAUCUCUAUAUUUUGAUUGUUUUUUAAAUAUAAUUUUCAUUUAGUUAUAUACUUUAAUGUUAGGUCAAGGUGCAGUUUUUUUAUAGGUAGUUAUGAGUUACUUUAUAUUUAUAUAUAAAUAUAUAUAUGUGUUACUGUAAUUAUUUAUUAUAGGAUUUGAUAGUAAUAAAAUAAAAUUUUUUUUUUUGAAUAUU
rnacentral:rRNA from 1 species